AUCCUUUUGUGGUUCACAAACCUAUGAUUAAUGUUGGAGACCCUGUGCAAGAGGCACCUCCCUGAACCCUUGUUAAGAUAUUGGCAUAUUAUCCAUUCAAUA